rnacentral:rRNA from 1 species
UACAGAGGGUGCGAGCGUUGUCCGGAAUCACUGGGCGUAAAGGGCGCGUAGGCGGCCCCUUAAGCGUGCGGUGAAAGCCCGGGGCUCAACCCCGGGUCGGCCGUGCGGACUGGGGGGCUGGAGCCGAUCAGAGGCAGGCGGAAUUCCGGGUGUAGCGGUGGAAUGCGCAGAUAUCAGGAGGAACACCAAUGGCGAAGGCAGCACUCUGGGACGUGACUGACGCUGAGACGCGAAAGCGUGGGGAGCAAACAGG